CAAUUAACAAUUAGAUGAGUGGAUACAACAGAAAUAUUUCAUAAGAAAAAGAAAAAAAAAAGAAAAGAGAAUAAUUAAGAAGAAAGAUAAACAUGGCGAGAAAAAUAAACAUGGCGAAACGUGGAAAUGUCGUCGCUUUCAUCUCUCUUUUGAUGAUUUUCUUGUUGGUUUUGACAGGGGAAGCUCAGGAGAAAACUAAGUAUACUAAAGCCAAGAGUGCGCCAACUGAAGUCUGUUUGGAUCGUAAUUCUGGUGAUGCUGUAUGCACUCAGUAUUGCGUUGCAGAAACAAAUCCGAAAAGAUGUUC